ACGAACGCUGGCGGCGCGCUUCAGACAUGCAAGUCGAACGGUGCAGCAAUGCAUAGUGGCAAACGGGUGCGUAACACGUGGGAAUCUACCUCUUGGUGUGGGAUAACACAGGGAAACUUGUGCUAAUACCACAUAAUGUCUUUGGACCAAAGAUUUAUCGCCAAGAGAGGAGCCCGCGGCAGAUUAGCUAGUUGGUGAGGUAAUGGCUCACCAAGGCAACGAUCUGUAGCUGGUCUGAGAGGAUGAUCAGCCACACUGGGACUGAGACACGGCCCAGACUCCUACGGGAGGCAGCAGUCGGGAAUAUUGGACAAUGGGGGAAACCCUGAUCCAGCGACGCCGCGUGUGUGAUGAAGGCCUUCGGGUUGUAAAGCACUUUUAGCGGAGAAGAUAAUGACGGUAUCCGCAGAAAAAGCCCCGGCUAACUUCGU
rnacentral:rRNA from 1 species